CGAACUCCGGUCAGCUGACACAUCCCUGCCAAUCUCCAGCAGACCCUCCCUCCCAGACCCUCCUACUUCCUGGACAGCAUCCAUGUUGAAUGCAGCUUCAACAUGGAUGCUGUCCAGGAGGUGGGAGGGUCUGCCGGAGAUUGGCAGGGAUGUGUCAGCUAACCG